CCGUGCUAGGUGGGGAGGUAGCGGUGCCCUGUAACUUGCAAUCCGCUCUAGCAAGACUGAAUUCCUAUUCGAGGCUGUCCGUAUUGUUUGGUCUGCCUUCUGCACGUAGUGUUGACGACCGGGUCCUGCGCAAUGGGACAUUAUGAACCAUGUCAGGUCCGGAAGGAAGCAGCAUUAAGUAAUCCAUCCCAUGUGCCGUGGGGUUGCCUGGUCCGAGCUGGCGACAGGAGUAACGCUUAUGUGCGGCUGUCAGAAAUAGGUGCGCGG
rfam:Caryophanon tenue strain DSM 14152 DSM_14152_R1_001_contig_26, whole genome shotgun sequence.